rnacentral:rRNA from 1 species
AACGAACGCUGGCGGCAUGCCUAACACAUGCAAGUCGAACGAGACCUUCGGGUCUAGUGGCGCACGGGUGCGUAACGCGUGGGAACCUGCCCUUAGGUUCGGAAUAACUCCCCGAAAGGGGUGCUAAUACCGGAUAAUGUCUUCGGACCAAAGAUUUAUCGCCUUUGGAUGGGCCCGCGUUGGAUUAGCUAGUUGGUAGGGUAAAAGCCUACCAAGGCGACGAUCCAUAGCUGGUCUGAGAGGAUGAUCAGCCACACUGGGACUGAGACACGGCCCAGACUCCUACGGGAGGGAGGAGUGGGGAAUAUUGGACAAUGGGCGAAAGCCUGAUCCAGCAAUGCCGCGGGAGUGAUGAAGGCCUUAGGGUUGUAAAGCUCUUUUACCCGGGAUGAUAAUGACAGUACCGGGAGAAUAAGCUCCGGCUAACUCCGUG